rnacentral:rRNA from 1 species
UACGAAGGGGCUAGCGUUGUUCGGAAUCACUGGGCGUAAAGGGCGCGUAGGCGGCUUGAUAAGUCGGGGGUGAAAGCCUGUGGCUCAACCACAGAAUUGCCUUCGAUACUGUCUGGCUUGAGAACCGGAAGAGGUAAGUGGAACUGCGAGUGUAGAGGUGAAAAUUCGUAGAUAUUAGCUAGAACACCAGUGGCGAAGGGCGGCC